UGAACGCUGGCGGCGUGCUUAACACAUGCAAGUCGAACGGAAAGGCCCAAGCUUGCUUGGGUACUCGAGUGGCGAACGGGUGAGUAACACGUGGGUGAUCUGCCCUGCACUUCGGGAUAAGCCUGGGAAACUGGGUCUAAUACCGGAUAGGACCACAUUUUGGAUGGUGUGGUGGAAAGUUUUUCGGUGUGGGAUGAGCUCGCGGCCUAUCAGCUUGUUGGUGGGGUAAUGGCCUACCAAGGCGUCGACGGGUAGCCGGCCUGAGAGGGUGUACGGCCACAUUGGGACUGAGAUACGGCCCAGACUCCUACGGGAGGCAGCAGGGGGGAAUAUUGCACAAUGGGCGCAAGCCUGAUGCAGCGACGCCGCGUGGGGGAUGACGGCCUUCGGGUGGUAAACUCCUUUCGCUAGGGACGAAGCGAAAGUGACGGUACCUGGAGAAGAAGCACCGGCUAACUACGU
rnacentral:rRNA from 1 species